UAAGGGGUGACUUUUUAACUUUUUACAUUUUUUAAUUCUAAUCCUACAAUCAAAUUUUAAAGAUGACUUAAGGGAAGGCCUUUUAAACUUUAUUUUCUUAUCAUUAUUUUCAAAAUUUUUUAACGUCAUAAUCACGAGGCGAGAACAGAAAACAGACGAGAGUUUCUUUUAUCUGGCGAAAGCAGUUCAUCCCACAAUGGAGGCCAGAGACCUUGAGCAUGCAAAAACUUUCAUCGUGGACCAAUGACUCGCAAACCAGGGAGGCAAGAAGCAAGACUUAUUCUUCUGUGUUUUUUCCGUGUUUCCUGUAACUCCGCGUGCUCCAUUUGUCAAGACAGGAGUUUGGCCCCUGUGGUACUCAACCUUGAUGAGAUUUGGCCUGUCUGGCCAGAGAAAUGACACAGCACAGCGACAGCCAAGUCUUUCAAAAACACUCGUACGAUGGAGGCCAGCAUCAUGGAACGCAAACUCCCAAACCAGCGUGGCAAUCGUGACUUCUGCGGAUUCUAUAUGGAACAAUCAAGGGCACCUCUGGCAGCUCUUCGCUUUGACUUGGACAUCCACUUUUUUAUUGAUUUUUUUUUUUUUUUUUUAACAUGAUGUCUUUUAUGUGCCCUUUCUGCAUCCAUUGCAGCCUAGUGAUCCUGAAAGGGGGAUCCUCCCAUCUGUGGUCCCUUCUCAAGGUUUCUCAUUUUUCCCCUGGUAGAGGUUUUUUGAGUUUUUCCUUGCCCUUUUGGGAGCUUAAGAUCAGGGGGUGCCUUCAGAAUAAUUGCCAAUUUGUCUAGGUGAAGCCCUUUGAGACUGCUUGUGAUUUAGGGCUAUGUAAAUAUAUUUUACUUGACUUGACUUCUAUGAGCAAGGAAAAUUGUCAGGAAACCCUCUUUAUUUUUGCUGCUUUUCCUCACCUCCUUCAUGUUUUUAUCGUAUCUUCUUGGGUAUUUCCUGCGGGUCGACAUGCAAUGCAGACAAAGAACAGCCUGGCCUUUAACAGUUGGAAACCUGUCCCUCUGGUUUUACUCUAUUAAGUCUCAGAUACGUACAGUCUGUUUUCUGUUCUCCUUUAUUUAUGUAUUUAUUUAUUUGUUUGUUUAUUUGUUUGAUUGCUUAUUUAUU